GGACGUCUUGAAAAUCGAGGGUGCUUCGUCUCCUGGGGACCGGCGGGGGAUGUGCCCUGUGGAGUGCGGCCACGCGGCCACGAGAACGGAAGUGGAAGUUCUCAAGCAGCAGGUGAGAGGUCGGAGCAGACAGUCCUGGGGCCAGGCAGGGCCUGUGGCCAGUGCACUCCUGCUGUUCACAGCGGCCACCCAUUCUCACACUUGCUUUAAUUAGAAGUACUGGUUUCAAAGUUUCCAGGCAGAAUGGAGUUCAGCUGGGUCACAGCGGGGUUCAUAAAGUGGGAACCAAGUCUCUGUGGGUUACGGGUCACCCAAGGUCACACCGUGAAGAGACGAUUGAGAUUCUGUGAGCCCUGGGUCCACGGAGUUCCCUGCAGGCGUGGUUGAUUCUGGAAACACUGCUCACCCAAGAUCUCACCUUUUCAGACAAUGGGAGCCGCCAGGCUAUGAUCCUGCAGGUCCUGGCCUCCUGCCCUUGAACAUCACGGGCAGUUUUCAAAGAAUCUGUGGUUCUGGUUGUGGUCACAGAAGAGUCAGGUCUGCUACCCUACACAGGCCUGGUGCCCCCAGCCACUCCUCUCCCUCACUGCGGCCACGUGGACGGCGAGAGCAAGGGUGCCCUCGAGGGCGCUGGCGGCCGAGCAUGGGGGAGGCAGCACUGGCCAAGCUGCGUGUGUCUGAGCUCAGUCCAGCAGGCUAGUGUCCGCCUCGCUGAAGGGCCAGCUGUGCCUGUCAAGUUUCUCCUCCUGUGAGAGGCUAAGUAGCAGUGAGUAAGGGGACUCGCCGAAAUCCCAGCUCGUGCCCUCAAGAACCUAUUAGCAGCGGGAGACCGAGGCCUGGGGUGAAGGCUGGAAAUCAGUUCUAUCUUUUAGAGGCCCCUGGACAUGUUCACUGACCAGUUUGCUCUGAGUAUGUGCCAAUUACAAGGAGUCUCAAUGUGCCCACGUGGGAAAGCUGAGCCGUGGGGUUAUUCACUUACCGUCAUUACCUGAAAGGAGUAGCUGGAUGUAAAAUCCAGAGCUCUUGGUGGAAAGAUGGGUCUUCUCUUUCCAGAUUAUCUCAUAGGAUAAUCUGCCUGUUAAAUUGGGAUCAUGCCUGUGGCUUAAAAAUUGAUCCAUAGAAAGCGAGGGUGACAUUCAGUUUGUUGAAGUCCUGUCCAGGUGGCAGCCCAGGCAGGGUUCCGGGGCAGGUACUGCCUGUGUUCAGGCCCUGGACCAUCCUGGAGCUCACCGACUAAGCACACUGCAGGCCAGAGGGCACCUGGCAUGUGGGCUGCAGCGGGGUCAGCCAGUGUGGGAUGCAGGCCUGACAGGCGUUCUUUUCAUGUGCGCUGAACAGUGGAGCGACGCCCAUCCCUUCGUUGGCACUAGGGAGAGUGUGUGAUGUUCUGCACAUACAUUUUGACCAAACCCACUUCUAAGUCAGCACCUAUGACUGCAACCCCACCAAGCGCCACACGGGGCAGUCGAGGUUUCAGAUCCACAGAGAAUCUGAGUUAGAACUGAAGUGACGGCACUGCUAGCUAGAAUGUUCAGUUCUCUUUACAUGGGCUUAUCCCAUUCAAAACACCCCAGUAACUGCUCUGUCUGCCUAGAACUGAGCCUCAGCUCUUGACUAAAAAAUAAAUAAAAAUGUCGCUUGGCUGGAUGUAGUUUCCUUGCAAUGGGGCUGAUGAAUAAGGAUUUAAAAAUGAAAUCUAUGUGUAUAUAUUUGUGUGUGCAUGUAUGUACACAUGUGCAUGUGUGUGUGCAUGCUAUGUAUGUGUG
rnacentral:lncRNA from 1 species